GACGUAGGGGGCAAGCGUUAUUCGGAAUCAUUGGGCGUAAAGCGCUCGUAGGCGGGAAGGCAAGUCCGUGUUGAAAGACCUCGGCUCAACUGAGGGACCGGCUCGGAUACUGUUUUUCUUGAGGCAUUCAGAGGGUGAUGGAAUUCCCGGUGUAGCGGUGAAAUGCGUAGAUAUCAAGUGGAACACCAGUGGCGAAGGCGAGUCCCUGGACAACUCCUGACACUGAGGCACGAAAGCUAGGGGAGCAAACAGG
rnacentral:rRNA from 1 species